AGGCGUGGUUCAAUGGUAGAACACCAGCCUUCCAAGCUAGUAACGUGGGUUCGAUUCCCAUCGCCUG
rnacentral:tRNA from 1 species